GCUUUUCAUCUGCAGUUUUUUUUCAAGUUACAGGCCCUUUUAAGAACAGUCCAAGAACUGUCCUUACUUUGACGGGCUUUUUCCUUUUCUUUUUUUUUCUGGCAGGUGUCAGAACUAUGCUUCUGCUCCGUGCUUUACCAAAAUGGAGAUGUUCUGACCCUGUGGGUGCAGGAGGAAAGCACCAGACUCUUGCUACCACUAUUGCUUAAGGAAGUAACAGUGAAAAUUCACUUUCAACCAUCUGUUCUCUCAGUGCAAGGUUCUCCAUAUUCUCACUGUCAGUACAAGCACAGCAGUAUUAAAAUCCUCGGGAAAGAAAAUUCCAUCUCCUCCUGCUGCAUCUUUCAGAGAAGUCAUCUAGUCAAAUGUCUUUUGUGGCAGGUCUGGAAAGUCACCAGUUUACGCAUAAGUGAAUAAAGGGAUUACCAUUCUCCAGCGGCUAAAGGAGAACAAGGAAAUGAGAAGAGGAAGGGAAGGGAACCAUUUGGCAGAACAUCCCAUAUAAAGAUUGUCUUAACAAUGCUUUUA